rnacentral:rRNA from 1 species
UCUUCGGAGAGUUUGAUCCUGGCUCAGGACGAACGCUGGCGGCGUGCCUAAUACAUGCAAGUCGAGCGAAUCGAUGGGAGCUUGCUCCCUGAGAUUAGCGGCGGACGGGUGAGUAACACGUGGGCAACCUGCCUAUAAGACUGGGAUAA